UACGUAGGGUGCAAGCGUUGUCCGGAAUUAUUGGGCGUAAAGAGCUCGUAGGCGGUGUGUCGCGUCGGUCGUGAAAACUUGGGGCUUAACCCUGAGCUUGCGGUCGAUACGGGCAUCCCUGGAGUUCGGCAGGGGAGACUGGAAUUCCUGGUGUAGCGGUGAAAUGCGCAGAUAUCAGGAGGAACACCAAUAGCGAAGGCAGCUUGCUGGGACGGUACUGACGCUAAGGCGCGAAAGCGUGGGGAGCGAACAGG
rnacentral:rRNA from 1 species